AACCUUAAAUCUAAGUCCUAUACUGCCAUUCCUCCAUACCUCCAAUUCCAUCAUACAUUUUCACAGACAAAUAAACAGAUAAAGGCAAACACAAGAAAGUUACAACUACUGCAGGUAACAAAUACACAUUUAGCAUGGCAAAUACAGAUAGGCACACCCAAUUAGAGCACAAGCAAGUAAUUCAAGUAAUAUGCAUAUGAUGCAUGCCUGUCCUAUGGCUGAUGAGGCUCAUCUGUCGGUUAUCCAGCCAACCCGACAAGUCUGAAUUGUCCUUAGACUGUCCCCCGACGUGCAUCCCCAAGAGUCUAUGCAUAGAUUUUUCUCAAAUAAUCAAUAUUGCUCAAUGGGGAUAACAUUCCCGGGAAUUUAUAUAGUGCCCGGUCACACUUACGUCGUAGGGUCAACAGAGUAUCGAGUUUUCAACCUGGUACACGUGGUGGCAAGCCACGACACUUAAUCCAGGGAAUCUCGUAUCUCAGAUUAUUCAAAUU
rnacentral:lncRNA from 1 species